CCUACGGGUGGCAGCAGUGGGGAAUAUUGGACAAUGGGCGAAAGCCUGAUCCAGCCAUGCCGCGUGUGUGAAGAAGGCCUUCGGGUUGUAAAGCACUUUCAGUGGGGAAGAAAGCCUUGGGGCUAAUACCCUCGAGGAAGGACAUCACCCACAGAAGAAGCACCGGCUAACUCCGUGCCAGCAGCCGCGGUAAUACGGAGGGUGCGAGCGUUAAUCGGAAUUACUGGGCGUAAAGCGCGCGUAGGCGGUCUGAUAAGCCGGUUGUGAAAGCCCCGGGCUCAACCUGGGAACGGCAUCCGGAACUGUCAGGCUAGAGUGCAGGAGAGGAAGGUAGAAUUCCCGGUGUAGCGGUGAAAUGCGUAGAGAUCGGGAGGAAUACCAGUGGCGAAGGCGGCCUUCUGGACUGACACUGACGCUGAGGUGCGAAGCGUGGGUAGCAAACAGGAUUAGAUACCCCUGUAGUC
rnacentral:rRNA from 1 species